rnacentral:tRNA from 1 species
GGAUCCGUAGUUCAACGGUAGAACGGUACUCUUAUAAAGUACGGGAGAAGGUCCGACUCCUUCCGGAUCCA